rnacentral:lncRNA from 1 species
GGAGGACUGAUUUUUGAAAUCAGUGGAAUUAGUGUAUGACAGCUAAGGAGAUGGAGAAAAUACCUGUCUCUGGAUUACAUCUUCAAACUAAGGGCAAUCAUGGCAUCUGUGACAGAUGGAGAAGUGUCCAUCCAUGUAUACAGAUCCAGCAAGCAACAUCAUCCACUGCAGUCACCAUGGAGACAAGGGUAGAAACAACACUGUCCUCAGAGAUGCAGAGCAUUCGCUUCACUGAAGCAUCUGAAGUGUUUAUGGUUAAUUAAGGGGAGUUUUCUUUCUACCAGCCUCAUAUUGAUUACCCUUAGAGUUCAGCUAAUUUCAGUUUAUGUGACAACACAAGCAGUUGUGUAGGGAAUCAUUGUACCAUCUAAACCACUGUGAAAUAUAUUUUAUUGUAUUUUCAGAUGUUCAGAGCUGGCAUACAAACUGAAAGUAAAUGACAAAAACAAAAGUUAAGAACGGGAAGCAUAGAAAUAGAGCACAUAGGAGAGAUCUACCACUUCUUAGUUUUGCCUUCAAUGAGAAUGAAAGAUUUAUAACUCACAUUUCUAUGUGAAUUUGGUCAGUCAACCAUAAAGUGACAUACUUUAGCUUUAAGGAUGAAAGAUUAAAACAAGGAGAAAGAUAAUUAUUCCUAUGAGCAAUACAAAGGGGUUCAACAACUCCCAUGGGCUGGUUAUAGCAUUAUAGCUCACCAUUUCACAUGGCUAAAGGACCAAUGGGGACAUGCCACCGGCUAUAGAAUCUAUCAACAUUCUAUAGAUUCUGAGAAUAUUUGAUUAGAUGGAAGAAGACCUAGAAUGUCCAUCGUUGGUUAAUUGGCUUGUGUGGCAAAUGAAUGCACAAAAACCAUAUUGUUUUUCCUUUGCAAAAGAGGCAACCAUUUGGACAUUUGACCUAUAGCAUACAUUAAGUCCAAAUUAAAACCAUACAACAUCACUGUGUUAUCCUGCUUAAUUCAAUAAUGAGAAAGCACAUGUAUUUUAUCCCUCGGUUAAUUCCUGUGUCUGGAUUUCUGUCAGCCCUAAAGGAAAAAUAAAUU